CAAUUAUGACUCCUUGGAUCAUACCUUACUACAUGGAUAACUGUGGCCAUCUACAGCUAAUACUUGCAUCAGAACUCCUAAUCUCUGACGACGAGCGCUUUUAUUAGACAAAUCCAAUCGAACUCUGUGUCCGUAUUAUGUGGUGACUCUGUAUAACUUUGGGUAGAUUGCACGGCCUCGUCCCGGCGACGUAUCUGUCAAAUGUCUG
rnacentral:ncRNA from 1 species